CUCCUCAGAUCAGAAGGUGAUUGUGGCUUUCGGUAGACAUGGAACAGCCACAUCACUGGCUGGUCAGAAAGAG
rnacentral:pre_miRNA from 15 species